GACGGAAGGUGCAAGCGUUGCUCGGAAUCACUGGGCGUAAAGGGUGCGUAGGCGGCUUCUUAAGUCUGGUGUGAAAGCCCAGGGCUCAGCUCUGGAAGUGCACUAGAAACUGGGAAGCUUGAGUACCGGAGGGGAGAGUGGAAUUCCUGGUGUAGCGGUGAAAUGCGUAGAUAUCAGGAGGAAUUCCGGUGGCGAAAGCGACUCUCUGGACGGUUACUGACGCUGAGGCACGAAAGCGUGGGGAGCGAACAGG
rnacentral:rRNA from 1 species